AAUUUUGGACAAUGGUCGCAAGCCUCAUCCCGCCAUGCCGCGUGAGUGAAGAAGGCAUUCUGGCUGCAAAGCUCUUUCGUACGGAAAGAAAUCGCGCAGGAUAAUACCCGGCGCGGAUGACUGUACCGUCAUAAGAAGCACCGGCUACCCACGUGCCACCAGCCGGGGUACUACGUACGGUGCGAGCGUUAAUCGGAAUUACGGGGCGUAAAGCGAGCGGUGGCGGUUGAUUAAGACAGGCGUGAAUGCCGCGGGGUUACCCAGGGGACUGCGUUUGUGACUGGUCAGAUGGAGUACAGCAGAGGGAGGUGGAAGUCCACGUGUAGCAGUGAAAUGCGUAGAGAUGUGGAGGAACACGGAUGGCGAAGGCAGCCCCCUGGGCCGAUACUGACGCUCAUGCACGAAAGCGUGGGUAGCGAACAGG
rnacentral:rRNA from 1 species